rnacentral:rRNA from 1 species
CUACGAAGGGGCUAGCGUUGUUCGGAUUUACGUGGGCGUUAAAGCGCGACGUAGGCGGAUCGUUAAGUCGGGGGUGAAAUCCUGGAGCUCAACUCCAGAACUGCCUUACGAUACUGGCGAUCUUGAGUCCGGAAGAGGUGAGUGGAACUCUAGUGUAGAGGUGGAAUUCGUAGAUAUUAGGAAGAACACAGUGGCGAAGGCGGCUCACUGGUCCGGUACCUGACGCUGAGGUGCGAAAGCGUGGGGAGCAAACAGG